GAUUAACGCUGGCGGCGUGCAUAACACAUGCAAGUCGAACGAAGUGGCGGACGGGUGAGUAACGCGUGAGUAACCUGCCUUAGAGAAGGGGAUAGCCUUUGGAAACGACGAAUAAUACCCUAUGCUCUCAGAUGGACUUGCGUCUGAUUAGUUAGUUGGUGGGGUAACGGCCCACACAAACAGCGAUCAGUAGCCGCCGGGAGAGAGGGUACGGCCACAUUGGGACUGAGACACGGCCCAGGCUCGAGGGGAGGCAGCAGUGGGGAAUUGUGCACAAUGGGGGAAACCCGGAUGCAGCGACGCCGCGGGAUUUAGAAGGCCUUCGGGUUGUAAAAAUCUUUUCUAUGGGAAGCAGUACCAUAGGAAUAAGGACCGGCUAAUUACGUGCCAGCAGCCGCGGUAAUAC
rnacentral:rRNA from 1 species